GCUUCUGCGCUGCAGCCCCAGGGCCACGUUGCCAAGACCACUUGCGAUAACCAACCCACUUUGGGUCUUUCCUAGGCUGUAUCCACACCCAGCCAGGAGGCCACCGACCCAGGACCAACCACCAGAGAUGCGGCACAGGCGUCCCCAGGACCAAGCUCAGGUUCAGCGAUUCACUAGGGUUCACAGAGCCCAGCCAAGCCGCUGCACUCACGGUCACAGUCUCUUCCGGCCGAUGGACGGCGGUCAGCUCGCCCAGGACCCUGUGUGACCACACACGCGGGGUGCAGCCAAGCCAGGAAACCAUCGGAGCUCAGGUGUGUAGGUUGUCACUGGGCAUCGGCCACGUAGACGCAGCCGACCUGAGCCUUCUGCGCACCCCCCCACCCCACCCCCCACCCCCGAGGUCCAGCUGAAACCGUGUGGCCCGAGGGCCCCCGUCGAUGCCUCUGGCGUGGGCCGAGACCCCAGGCAAACAAAGGCAGGAUGACAUCCGAAGGGCCCAGAGGUCGCCUCCCAGCAGCUGGGCCAGGGCCAGACCUUUGGAAAGUGCCGGCUGUGGGUACACCCCAGCUGCCCGGUUAACCUUUUCCUGCCCAGUGACACAGCCCGCCGCGCACCAUGUUGGGAGGCACCGGGCCCGAAGGAGCCCGGGUAGGGGACAAUGGGGAAAGAAAGCAUCAGGCAGACUUGGAGCACCCCCCCCGGCCCACCCCCGGGGUGGGGGUGGGGGACAGGAUGCCUGCCGCCCCCUCCCCCUUGUAGGUGGUGAGCGGUGGCCACGCGGAUGUCACAGAGCCCGAAUCCACGCCCAAUCUCACACGGAGGCCCACGCUCCUCCCACGCGCCCACUUGGCCCCUCGGCGAGGUGGGCCCUGCUCGAACCCGCCCAGGCCCCCCAAGAAGAAUGCGAUGGGACCACUUCAGCCUCGGAAUGUGCAGCGAAUGUCUGCAGGGGGCAGGGCGGGGCGGGGCAGGGGCUCCGUUUCUCCCUUCCGGAUGAAGCCCCAACAGAGGAGGCAGCUUCGGGGGACGGAGGGGCCCAGAACAACCCCCUCCUCUGAUGGCAGGGCAAGUCACCACCUCCAGAGAGUAGAAGCGACCUGCCUCUGGUCACGCAGAGCCGUCACGGCCCUCAGCCACCCCCACACCGGGCACCCGUCCAGAGACGUCCCCGAUGCAGGUUUAAUCUUCUGAUUCUUUGUGGAAACAUUUUGGAAGAUCCGUAUCUAACGGCUUUUGUGAACACGGUGGCUCUCCAGGCUGGUCCCCGGGGAGAGCUGUCGAAGCAGGUAGCACCCAAGCGGGCUGGCCUGGGCCCCGGCGGCAGCGACAGACUUUCAGUUCGGCCUAAAGAGGACCAAAAAGCAGGAACCAGAUAAUCCUACCGGCCCUGCCUGCUUACAGACAAGUCUAGAGAAUCCCCGCAGGUAACACAUAGGCCAAGGUUCUGGAAGGUUCACGAACACAGGCACAACGGCCCUGUAAGCGGCAGUGGGACCUGGCCAAUAGAGCUCAAGAUUUGGGGCCCACCUGGCGUAGCUGAACCCCCAGACCUCAGCGUCUGUAACGAGAAGAUGCGAAAACAUCAGCACUGGCCCCAGGGGUAGAGAUAAGCCCUAACAAGAGGGCUUAAGCCAAUGGUUC